GAUUAAUUCUUUCAGAGAAAAUUUCAGUCCUCCAAGCAAGAAUUUCAAUCUUCAAGUCCAUCUUUAUUGUGAACGCAGAAUCAUAUUUUGUGUUACCGUUGAAGUCUCUUCCCCUUUAACUACGCAAACCCAUCCAAGAUUUUCCAUAUAUUUGAUUAAAUCUCUGUUGAGUUCACUUCGAGGCCAACUCCUGAAAAAAAAAAUGAUCUUAUUAAAAGAAGAUGGUCUUGUCUUCUUUUCAAUCUUCAUUUUUUCAAUAAUCAAAGCUUUUGCUUCCCUCUCUUGCAACAGUACAUGCGGUUCCAACCAUCUUCCUUACCCUUUUGGAUUCUCCUCUGGCUGCAAAAUUCAAUUAAAUUGCAGCAGAAAUGGAAAAAUCCUUGUCAAUAAUGAGUUUCCUGUCCAAUAUGUAACCCAGGAUAAAAUAAGAAUCAAUGUUCAACCCCGAUGCAACCGUUCCAUCCAGGCCUUCCAAAGACUAUUUGCCAGCAACUUUGCACCCUCAUCAACUAACGCAAUUCUAUUGCAUAACUGCCGCCGCAGCGUCCAGACAUGCAGGAUACCUGGCAUAAGUGUGGUGACUGAUCUCACUAUGUCUCUUAAUUGUUCAAAUAGCAGCCACUUAAGUUGCCUUAUCAAUUUAACUGACGAUGGUUUCUUCCCUAAGAGUAGUCAACUUAGCCAGUGCCGGUCUUUUUUGUCAUCGAUAUCAGCCAACCUCUCUUCCACUUCCGGUGUGUCGUCGUUGGAGGUUCAGGUGAUGGACCUGCGAUGGUGGCUUCAGGGGGAUAAGUGUAAUUGUUCUAACCAUGCCAAUUGUAGUAGAGUUGUUAAAACUCCUGCUGGACCGGGAUAUCGGUGUGUGUGCAAAGAUGGUUUUCUCGGUGAUGGAUAUCCAGCUGGUGCCGGCUGCCGGAAAGCCUCUUGCCAUCUAGCAAAUUAUUUGUCAGGCCAAUGCGGAGGAGCUGCUAGAAUUGCAGUUUUAAUUGGAGGAAUUGCUGCUGUAGUAGCUUUCAUGGUCACUCUGGGUCUGCUAUGCUGUUUCAUUCGAAGAAGGUCAACUGCAAAAGCCAAAGGCUUCACAAAACUCCACCUAGCUGAAGCUACAGGCAUCAACAUUCCCAUCUAUCCCUACAGGGAAAUCGAGAAAGCCACAAAUAGUUUUUCAGAGACACAAAGGCUUGGCACUGGGGCAUAUGGAACAGUUUAUGCUGGUAAACUCCACAAUGGUUUAGGGGUUGCCAUUAAAAGGAUCAAGCACAGAGAUGGUGACAGCAUUGAUCGAGUCAUGAAUGAAAUCAAGCUCAUUUCAUCUGUGAAUCACCCGAAUUUAGUUCGCCUCUUAGGUUGCUCUAUAGAAAAUGGUGAACAAAUUCUUGUCUAUGAAUUCAUGCCCAAUGGAACAUUGUGCCAGCAUUUACAAAGAGAGAAAGGCGAUGGACUUGCCUGGCUGGUUCGCCUCACUAUUGCUUCUGAAACUGCUCAGGCUAUAGCUCAUCUCCAUUCUGCUAUCCACCCCCCAAUAUACCACAGAGAUAUCAAGUCAAGCAACAUACUUUUAGAUUACAACUUCAGGUCCAAAGUUGCAGAUUUUGGUCUUUCUAGACUUGGCAUUACUGAAACAUCCCAUAUCUCAACAGCCCCACAGGGAACUCCAGGGUAUCUUGAUCCUCAAUACCAUCAGAACUUCCAUCUUUCAGAUAGAAGUGAUGUUUAUAGCUUUGGGGUUGUGUUGCUAGAGCUUUUGACUUCUCUAAGAGCAAUUGAUUUUAGUAGAGGAGAAGAUAAUGUGAAC
rnacentral:misc_RNA from 1 species